rnacentral:rRNA from 1 species
AUGCNAGUCUAAGUUUAAGCACCUAAACGGCGAAACUGCGAAUGGCUCAUUAAAUCAGUUAUCGUAUAUUUGAUAGUACCUACUACAUGGAUAACCGUGGUAAUUCUAGAGCUAAUACAUGCUUAAAAUCCCGACUUCGGAAGGGAUGUAUUUAUUAGAUUAAAAACCAAUGCCCUUCGGGGCUCACUGGUGAUUCAUAAUAACUUCUCGAAUCGCAUGGCCUUGUGCCGGCGAUGGUUCAUUCAAAUUUCUGCCCUAUCAACUUUCGACGGCUGGGUCUUGGCCAGCCGUGGUUACAACGGGUAACGGAGGGUUAGGGCUUGACCCCGGAGAAGGAGCCUGAGAAACGGCUACUACAUCCAAGGAAGGCAGCAGGCGCGCAAAUUACCCAAUCCCGAUACGGGGAGGUAGUGACAAUAAAUACUGAUACAGGGCUCUUUUGGGUCUUGUAAUUGGAAUGAGUACAAUUUAAAUCCCUUAACGAGGAACAAUUGGAGGGCAAGUCUGGUGCCAGCAGCCGCGGUAAUUCCAGCUCCAAUAGCGUAUAUUAAAGUUGUUGCAGUUAAAAAGCUCGUAGUUGAACCUUGGGCCUGGCUGGCCGGUCUGCCUCACCGCAUGCACUGGUCCGGCCGGGCCUUUCCCUCUGGGGAGCCGCAUGCCCUUCACUGGGUGUGUCGGGGAACCAGGACUUUUACUGUGAAAAAAUUAGAGUGUUCAAAGCAGGCCUAUGCUCGAAUACAUUAGCAUGGAAUAAUAGAAUAGGACGUUGCGGUUCUAUUUUGUUGGUUUCUAGGACCGCCGUAAUGAUUAAUAGGGACAGUCGGGGGCAUCAGUAUUCAAUCGUCAGAGGUGAAAUUCUUGGAUCGAUUGAAGACUAACUACUGCGAAAGCAUUUGCCAAGGAUGUUUUCAUUAAUCAGGAACGAAAGUUAGGGGAUCGAAAACGAUCAGAUACCGUUGUAGUCUUAACCAUAAACUAUGCCGACUAGGGAUCGGGCGAUGUUUUUCUUUGACUCGCUCGGCACCUUACACGAAAGUAAAGUUUUUGGGUUCUGGGGGGAGU